rnacentral:lncRNA from 1 species
UCACCAUAAUCUUCAGUUCGCUCGGUUUUAUCAUCAUCGAUACAUGUCAAGACUCUCAGCUCUGCCGUCGCAUUAAUCCCCGUCUCAUUACUAGCCGCGAGCGCGCCCCUGAUUCCAUUUAUAAAGGGUGGUUUCCUUUCAUGAUGAGACCAAGGACCCUAAUGUUUAGUAUUGCCAGUCAUUUGCUACAACUUGGCGCGAGUGCAGCAUAAAGUAGUGAGUUUUGUGUUCGCUAUAAGGGCUGUUUGUGAAUAAUAUACCGAAUUAGGAAGUGUUAGCAAGUCCUAAGUCUUUGAAGUAAGCCUUCUAAAACCAAACAAUUGAACAAAUAUUGGAAGUUGAUAACGUUCUGAGAACGUUCCAAAAAAGUCAGUUCAUGUUCCAGAGCAAUUUAAGUCAUCAAAUAUAACCCAAGGUAAACCAUUGUAUUAACCCUUCUCAUUAACUGUAUUAGACUAAUGGCAUACUUCUAAUCCAGAGGUAUUAAAAUAAAUUAAAUAAUUAAAUUGUUACUAGCUGUUUUUCUGCUUUUUUAUUAAUUAUUUGAAUUAAUAUUAAAUGCGUAUCUGGAAGGAUCAGACAGAACAUUGUGAAUAGAGACAUUAAGAAUAUAUGACAGAUAGGACAGUGUGUAAUAGGCUUAAUCUUAUUAUGGGAUAAAGAUGAAUUUGCAAAAUUCAUGGCCAACCUCCAUUAGAGGCGGUACCAAAAGAA